rnacentral:rRNA from 1 species
CCGUAGAGAUACGGUCCCCUCGUGGUCGGUGUACAGGUGGUGCAUGGCUGUCGUCAGCUCGUGUCGUGAGAUGUUGGGUUAAGUCCCGCAACGAGCGCAACCCUUGUCUUAUGUUGCCAGCACGUGAUGGUGGGGACUCGUAAGAGACUGCCGGGGUCAACUCGGAGGAAGGUGGGGACGACGUCAAGUCAUCAUGCCCCUUAUGUCCAGGGCUUCACACAUGCUACAAUGGCCAGUACAGAGGGCUGCGAGACCGUGAGGUGGAGCGAAUCCCUUAAAGCUGGUCUCAGUUCGGAUCGGGGUCUGCAACCCGACUCCGUGAAGCUGGAUUCGCUAGUAAUCGCGCAUCAGCCACGGCGCGGUGAAUACGUUCCCGGGCCUU